rnacentral:lncRNA from 1 species
UAAUUUAUAAACACAAACCAGUUAUAAACUAAUUUUAAACUGAAUUGAAACUAUUUUAACAAUUAACUGCAUUUUAUUGAAAUAGUUAUUAUAAAUUGAACUGAACUAUAAAUAAAUGUGGUUUGGUUCAAUACAAUUCAUAAACCAUGAACAUCCCUGAUUAACACAUAUAACCACACCACCAUAAUAAACAAACAUUGCUCUUUUCUCUUUGUGAAAAUAAAGUUGCUGCAAUUUUUCACUUCAUUCCAUAACACCACUAAUAACACAAUCCUUUCACCAUAUAAAAAAACUUAAACUCACGGAAAUCAUUAACACCAUUUUUCUACACACUCAUAAAUUUCUCACUCUCAUUUUCC